UAGGGAAUCUUGCGCAAUGGGCGAAAGCCUGACGCAGCCAUGCCGCGUGAAUGAUGAAGGUCUUAGGAUUGUAAAAUUCUUUCACCGGGGAAGAUAAUGACGGUACCCGGAGAAGAAGCCCCGGCUAACUUCGUGCCAGCAGCCGCGGUAAUACGAAGGGGGCUAGCGUUGCUCGGAAUUACUGGGCGUAAAGGGCGCGUAGGCGGAUAUUUAAGUUGGGGGUGAAAGCCCGGGGCUCAACCUCGGAAUAGCCUUCAAUACUGGAUAUCUUGAGUUCGGGAGAGGUGAGUGGAAUGCCGAGUGUAGAGGUGAAAUUCGUAGAUAUUCGGCGGAACACCAGUGGCGAAGGCGACUCACUGGCCCGAUACUGACGCUGAGGCGCGAAAGCGUGGGGAGCAAACAGGAUUAGAUACCCUGGUAGUCCACGCCGUAAAACGAUGAGUGCUAGUUGUCGGCAUGCAUGCAUGUCGGUGACGCAGCUAACGCAUUAAGCACUCCGCCUGGGGAGUACGGUCGCAAGAUU
rnacentral:rRNA from 1 species